rnacentral:rRNA from 1 species
GAUGAACGCUGGCGGUGUGCUUAACACAUGCAAGUCGAGCGAGUGAGUUCUUCGGAACGAUCUAGCGGCGGACGGGUGAGUAACACGUGGGCAACCUGCCUCAUAGAGGGGAAUAGCCUCCCGAAAGGGAGAUUAAUACCGCAUAAAAUUAUCGAGUGGCAUCACAUGAUAAUCAAAGGAGUAAUCCGCUAUGAGAUGGGCCCGCGGCGCAUUAGCUAGUUGGUGAGGUAACGGCUCACCAAGGCGACGAUGCGUAGCCGACCUGAGAGGGUGAUCGGCCACAUUGGGACUGAGACACGGCCCAGACUCCGACGGGAGGCAGCAGUGGGGAAUAUUGCACAAUGGGGGAAACCCUGAUGCAGCGACGCCGCGUGAGUGAUGAAGGUCUUCGGAUUGUAAAGCUCUGUCUUUGGGGACGAUAACGACGGUACCCAAGGAGGAAGCCACGGCUAACUACGUGCCAGCAGCCGCGGUAA